CGGGGUAGCAACUUGGGCCGCUUUUGGCAAUGCUACCUGGAACACCUAAAAUCGAGAUAGAGACAAAUAGCUGCUGCGAAAUUUAGAACUCCAGGAACAUGUGCACAUAAAGAAAAAAUUAUGUCUAGCAGCUAGCCAUGUCAGCCUCCUUAUGAAACGCAUGAUGGUCAGGGAUGACGAGCGUCCCUUGUUAACAAUAUGGCAUGUAGCCAUGUUGUCGGAAAAGCAUCGUACCGUAUUACCUGACUAGCAUAAGCCCCAUUUGACUGCAGCUGCCACGAUCGGGUAAAGUUCAAAUAAUGCCGAAGUGUUAGUGAAAUCUUAUUCACUUAUUGCCAAAUAUUGCUGCAAAACUGUAUGUGGCAGCAGCAUCUGUCCAGAUUGAAAAAAACUUGUCAGUUAGUACCAGAAUAAAUGCUUUUUUCCAUUCCAAUUUAGCAGGAAUUCCCUCCACAUGCAUAAGUCGGUGGUGGCAUGCAGAUCCAGCACAAUGUGGGAGGAAUCCGACUGAAAUUGGGAGAAAAGACAAAGUAAUCUGGAUAUAAAUGACCUUCCUUGCAGAAUGGAUCUUCAUAGCAAAAGUGAGGGAACCCAACAGUGAUUGGGGUUCCCUCCUAUUGCAAGAACCUGCUUCAAGGUCCAAGAUAGGAUGAUACAAUCCUACAAGAUAGGAUGAGUUCAAUUUUUUCAGUAGGGAGGCUGGCUUGGAUAUGAACUGGGUCCAAAAC